GGGGAUUUAGCUCAGUGGUGCCAGCACCUGUCUCACAAGCACAAGGUCCCAAGUUUGAUCCCUGGUACCCCCC
rnacentral:tRNA from 1 species